rnacentral:rRNA from 1 species
GAUGAACGCUGACAGAAUGCUUAACACAUGCAAGUCUUUGGCGAAGCUGUGCUUGCACAGCCUAGCCAAGGCGGACGGGUGAGUAACGCGUAAGGAACUUGCCCUGCAGUCAGGGAUAACAGACGGAAACGACUGAUAAGACCUGGUAAAGUCAGGCGGACUCAUGUCCAGCCUGAUGAAAAGAGAUGCUGCAGGAGAGCCUUGCGUCCUAUUAGCUUGUUGGUGGGGUAAGGGCCCACCAAGGCGAUGAUAGGUAGCCGGCCUGAGAGGGUGGACGGCCACAAGGGGACUGAGAUACGGCCCUUACUCCUACGGGAGGCAGCAGUGGGGAAUAUUGGACAAUGGGGGCAACCCUGAUCCAGCAAUUCUGUGUGCACGAUGAAGGUUUUCGGAUUGUAAAGUGCUUUCAGCAGGGAAGAAAAAAAUGACGGUACCUGCAGAAGAAGCGACGGCUAAAUACGUG